rnacentral:rRNA from 1 species
UACGUAGGGUGCAAGCGUUGUCCGGAAUUAUUGGGCGUAAAGAGCUCGUAGGCGGCUUGUCGCGUCGUGUGUGAAAUCUCAGGGCUCAACUCUGACAUUGCAUACGAUACGGGCAGGCUUGAGUUCGGUAGGGGAGACUGGAAUUCCUGGUGUAGCGGUGAAAUGCGCAGAUAUCAGGAGGAACACCGGUGGCGAAGGCGAGUCCCUGGACAACACCUGACACUGAGGCACGAAAGCUAGGGGAGCAAACAGG